UGCCAGCCGCCGCGGUAAUACGGAGGGGGUUAGCGUUGUUCGGAAUUACUGGGCGUAAAGCGACACGUAGGCGGAUUAGAAAGUUAGAGGUGAAAUCCCGGGGCUCAACCCCGGAACUGCCUUUAAAACUACUAGUCUCAGAGUUCGAGAGAGGUGAGUGGAAUUCCGAGUGUAGAGGUGAAAUUCGUAGAUAUUCGGAGGAACACCAGUGGCGAAGGCGGCUCACUGGCUCGAUACUGACGCUGAUGAGGGAAAGUGUGGGGGGAAAACAGGAUUUGAUG
rnacentral:rRNA from 1 species